GACGUAGGGCGCGAGCGUUGUCCGGAUUUAUUGGGCGUAAAGAGCUCGUAGGCGGCUUGUCGCGUCGUUCGUGAAAACCUGCAGCUCAACUGCAGGCUUGCGGUCGAUACGGGCAGGCUAGAGUUCGGUAGGGGAGACUGGAAUUCCUGGUGUAGCGGUGAAAUGCGCAGAUAUUGGGAAGAACACCUGAGGCGAAGGCGGGUUGCUGGGCCGACACUGACGCUGAGGCGCGAAAGCCAGGGGAGCAAACGGG
rnacentral:rRNA from 1 species